CACAAAAAAUAUGAAGGCUGCAACCGCCAGUUUUGGCGGGGAAGCUGAAUUAUUUUUCACCCAUGUCUUUUGCGCACUUGUUGUUUCCUGGGCGGGUUCGCCCGCCACCAGGACCACACCAUAAACCUUUUUUAUGCAGUUGCAAUCAGCGUCAGUAUAACAAAUGUAAAUCAUUUA
rnacentral:misc_RNA from 2 species